GUUGCUUACCCUGCCAGGCGGGCGCGAACAGCGCGGGAGCCAGUGUCCACCUUGCUUCGCCAGGGUGUUAUCGCCAGCCAGUCCCCUUCCGCAUGCCCAAGGGCAGCCUCAGGAAGCGAGCCCACCAAAGAUGACAAUCACAUUUUGAAACAAACAGCCAUGGUAUACUCAGGAUUAUGCAAAUAACUGACAGCCUAGGUUUAACUCGUUUCAGCUCCACUCAAAAAAAAAGAAAGUCCUAAUGCAAGUAACCGAAAGUGAAGAUAUUGCAAAACAAAUACUGACAACUGAAUUGAUGAUAUGAUGACAGACUCUUCCCUCCACUGUAAACUAUGGUGAAGAAAUGGAGGCUUAGAAAAAGUAAGUUAUUCAUCCAAAGGUAUAUAUAAGGAUUUCCUUUCAGUAUGGAAUGUCUCUGGCCUGGAGGGGAAUUGGAAUGUCUCCUAUAUAACAGUUUACGGAGGUCAUGUGUAUCCAUAACAACAAGGAUGCUGCUGUUUAAGUUGACAGCUUUCCUUCCCAAUAAACAUUCAUGUACACCUUUUGUCUUUUACUUCCGGUAUUCACCUUACCAUGUAAUAGAAGUAUCAUGUUGCUGCGAGGAUACAUGCAUUGCUUUAGGUAAAUUAAAAUGCAUAUCAGUACUUAAUACCCUAGAAAGCAGAAAUACAUUACACAAGUCCAAUUCUGAAACUUUAGUAUUUUUCUGUGCAGAUUUGUGCACAUGUGAGAGGGUAUCCGUUUCAUCUAGUGAUUGCUAUUCAGAGUUGGACCAGCGUUUUGUGUUGCUAAUGCACCGUGGUCCCAAAAAAGCCUUGCAAAAAUGUUAUGCCCUGUGUAACAGCAGAGUAGCAUAAAAUACACUUACACUUUAUAAGCCAUUUACUGUUGCUUUGUAACAAUUGCCUACUCGUAUUUUAAGGAAUAGGUGAGUUCACUACUUUCUGAAGUUUAUCAUAGUUCUCUUGUAUCUUAUGCAAAGUGUAGUAAUGAUACCCAUAGUUCUGCAUUGUGAUACGCUUGUCUAGAGAAACCCAGAGAUGUAAAAAAUUGUACUACAUUUCUCAGUGUUUUAACAUAGAUCAGCAUCACAGGCUAUCUAUUCUUAAGAUAUAAAUUAUACAUGUUAAGUGUUAUAUGGAAUAAAGUGGACAUUUUAAAGCUAGAAAUAAAAUGGAGGGUAUGACAGAAUCCUACUUGAAGAAGUAAGAUUAUAGGGACGGUACUAGGUCCGACAGUUCCCCAUUCUGGUCAGCAGGUGGCACUAGAGUAGCUUGGAUGCCAAAUGGAACAAAGGGCAAAAAUAGAUCUGGCUCAAAACCUUUGGGUGAAAGUGCGGGAGAGGCAGGUGACUGGUUGUUUACAUGUCGAUAUGUCUUAUCUCUCUUUCUAAAUUGUUCAUUGUUUGAAGUGAGGCACACUUCUAGGUACAACAAAAAAUUGUACUGAACUUUUCUGUGCCUUGGACUCUUACCUGAUAAUGGAUACAAUAAUAAUGCCUACCUCAUAGCAUUGUUGGGAGCUAUUGUGAGAAUAAUGAAUUAAUGCAUGUCAGUGCGACAGUGCAGAUUGCAGAGUAAGUGUUCAGUAAAUGUCAAUUAUUAUGACUCUGCACAAUGACCAUGAGGCACACAUAGUAGAAAUUCAAAAGAUAUUAGUGGAUGCAGCGAAUUGCAUGGGAUGUUCAGAAGCCUGAUGCUUAUAACUCAGAGACCACCUAGUAUUAAAAUAUCUGUAAAACAGAUUGGUAUGGGAAUAACUGGGAAUAAUUACUUACAUGGUAAUGUGACUGUUUUAAAUGUUUGUAACCUCGAGAGUUCACUGAGAGUUCACUGAAAUGCUAUCUCUCUGAGUAUCAUUUAGUUCACUGAGUCUUUUCAGAGAUGUAUUGUGAGGGAAAUCUAAAACAGUAAUAAAUACUGCAAAGCUAGGCAAA